UACGGAGGGUGCGAGCGUUGUCCGGAAUCACUGGGCGUAAAGGGCGCGUAGGCGGCCUGAUAAGUAGGGGGUGAAAUCCUGCGGCUUAACCGCAGGGCUGCCUUCUAAACUGUCGGGCUAGAGCACGGUAGAGGCAGAUGGAAUUCCCGGUGUAGCGGUGGAAUGCGUAGAGAUCGGGAAGAACAUCAGUGGCGAAGGCGGUCUGCUGGGCCGUUGCUGACGCUGAGGCGCGAAAGCUAGGGGAGCAAACGGG
rnacentral:rRNA from 1 species